GACGAACGCUGGCGGCGUGCCUAAUACAUGCAAGUAGAACGCUGAAGGAGGAGCUUGCUUCUCUGGAUGAGUUGCGAACGGGUGAGUAACGCGUAGGUAACCUGCCUGGUAGCGGGGGAUAACUAUUGGAAACGAUAGCUAAUACCGCAUAAGGGUAGAUGUUGCAUGACAUUUGCUAAAAAGGUGCAAAUGCAUCACUACCAGAUGGACCUGCGUUGUAUUAGCUAGUUGGUGGGGUAACGGCUCACCAAGGCGACGAUACAUAGCCGACCUGAGAGGGUGAUCGGCCACACUGGGACUGAGACACGGCCCAGACUCCUACGGGAGGCAGCAGUAGGGAAUCUUCGGCAAUGGACGGAAGUCUGACCGAGCAACGCCGCGUGAGUGAAGAAGGUUUUCGGAUCGUAAAGCUCUGUUGUAAGAGAAGAACGAGUGUGAGAGUGGAGAGUUCACACUGUGACGGUAUCUUACCAGAAAGGGACGGCUAACUACGUGCCAGCAGCCGCGGUAAUACGUAGGUCCCGAGCGUUGUCCGGAUUUAUUGGGCGUAAAGCGAGCGCAGGCGGUUAGAUAAGUCUGAAGUUAAAGGCUGUGGCUUAACCAUAGUAGGCUUUGGAAACUGUUUAACUUGAGUGCAAGAGGGGAGAGUGGAAUUCCAUGUGUAGCGGUGAAAUGCGUAGAUAUAUGGAGGAACACCGGUGGCGAAAGCGGCUCUCUGGCUUGUAACUGACGCUGAGGCUCGAAAGCGUGGGGAGCAAACAGG
rnacentral:rRNA from 1 species